rnacentral:rRNA from 1 species
GAUCCUGGCUCAGGAUGAACGCUAGCUACAGGCUUAACACAUGCAAGUCGAGGGGCGAUCAGUUUGGUUUGCUUGCAAACCAAAGCUGGCGACCGGCGCACGGGUGAGUAACACGUAUCCAACCUGCCUCAUACUCGGGGAUAGCCUUUCGAAAGAAAGAUUAAUAUCCGAUAGCAUAUAUUUUCCCGCAUGGGUUUUAUAUUAAAGAAAUUCGGUAUGAGAUGGGGAUGCGUUCCAUUAGUUUGUUGGGGGGG